AGAACAUUCAACCGCCGCACA
rnacentral:miRNA from 1 species